rnacentral:rRNA from 1 species
UGGGGAAUAUUGGACAAUGGGCGAAAGCCUGAUCCAGCCAUGCCGCGUGUGUGAAGAAGGUCUUCGGAUUGUAAAGCACUUUAAGUUGGGAGGAAGGGCAUUAACCUAAUACGUUAGUGUUUUGACGUUACCGACAGAAUAAGCACCGGCUAACUCUGUGCCAGCAGCCGCGGUAAU